rnacentral:tRNA from 1 species
GGCCCUGUAGCUCAGGGGAGAGAGCAGCCGCCUUCUAAGCGGACGGUCGGGGGUUCGAAUCCCUCCAGGGCCG